rnacentral:misc_RNA from 1 species
UUUCCGUAGGUGAACCUGCGGAAGGAUCAUUCUUGUUUAACCGAGAUGCGAGGGCUGUCGCUGAUCCGCACGUUCUUUCACGCCCGAGUGCCUUCCCUCACAUCCAUGUCACCCCUAUAUGCACCACCGCGUGUGUCCCCCUUUAACCUGUUCGGAGGAGGCCUUACGUUUUCACCCUACCUUAGCGUGCCGCGUAGCUUGUACUUUUUGUUUUUGCGCUCACGCACUCAAUACCACUUUCAACAACGGAUCUCAUGGCUCUCGCAUCGAUAUAGAACC